rnacentral:rRNA from 1 species
GGCGAACGGGUGAGUAAUGCAUCGGAACGUGCCCAACUGUGGGGGAUAGCUCGGCGAAAGCCGGAUUAAUACCGCAUACGAUCCACGGAUGAAAGCGGGGGAUCUUCGGGCCUCGCGCAGUUGGAGCGGCCGAUGUUAGAUUAGGUAGUUGGUGGGGUAAAGGCUCACCAAGCCGACGAUCUAUAGCUGGUCUGAGAGGACGACCAGCCACACUGGGACUGAGACACGGCCCAGACUCCUACGGGAGGCAGCAGUGGGGAAUUUUGGACAAUGGGCGAAAGCCUGAUCCAGCAAUGCCGCGUGUGUGAAGAAGGCCUGCGGGUUGUAAAGCACUUUCAGUUGGGAAGAUGAUGACGUUACCAACAGAAGAAGCACCGGCUAAAUCCGUGCCAGCAGCCGCGGUAAUACGGAUGGUGCGAGCGUUAAUCGGAAUUACUGGGCGUAAAGCGCGC